rnacentral:rRNA from 1 species
CUACGGGACGCUCCAGUGAGGAAUUUUGCGCAAUGGGGGAAACCCUGACGCAGCAACGCCGCGUGAGCGAAGAAGGCCUUCGGGUCGUAAAGCUCUGUCAAGUGGGAAAAAAAUUCUUUGAUGAACAGUCAAAGGACUUGAUGGUACCACUGGAGGAAGCACCGGCUAACUCCGUGCCAGCAGCCGCGGUAAUACGGAGGGUGCAAGCGUUGUUCGGAAUUACUGGGCGUAAAGAGCGUGUAGGCGGUUUGACAAGUCAGAUGUGAAAGCCCCGGGCUCAACCCGGGAAGUGCAUUUGAAACUGUUUCACUAGAGUAUGGGAGAGGAGAUUGGAAUUCCUGGUGUAGAGGUGAAAUUCGUAGAUAUCAGGAGGAACACCCGUGGCGAAGGCGAUUCUCUGGACCAAUACUGACGCUGAGACGCGAAAGCGUGGGGAGCAAACAGGAUUAGAUACCCGCGUAGUC